AUUGAACGCUGGCGGCAGGCCUAACACAUGCAAGUCGAACGAGUGGCGGACGGGUGAGUAAUGUCUGGGAAACUGCCUGAGGGAGGGGGAUAACUACUGGAAACGGUAGCUAAUACCGCAUACCAGAGGAUGUGCCCAGAUGGGAUGAGCUAGGAGGUGGGGUAAAGGCUCACCUAGGCGACGAUCCGUAACUGGUCUGAGAGGAUGACCAGUCCCACUGGAACGUAGACACGGUCCAGACGCCUACGGGAGGCAGCAGUGGGGAAUAUUGGACAAUGGGCGAAAGCCUGAUACAGCCAUGCCGCGUGUGUGGAGAAGGUCUUCGGAUUGUAAAGGACUUUAAGUGGGGAGGCGUUACCAACAGAAUAAGCACCGGCUAACUUCGUGCCAGCCGCCGCGGUAAUUC
rnacentral:rRNA from 1 species